rnacentral:lncRNA from 1 species
CUGGCAGUUUUCCUGAGUACAUGGGAGUUAGGGCAGAGAACAUGAUGUGGUGCUGGUAGUCAACGCAAGCUGGCACGGCCUCAGCCAGAAGACUGGAGCUAGGAGCAAGCAAAGCACCAAGUAAAUGAAUCAAAUUAAAAAACAACUACAACAACAACAACAAAGGAGGAAACUAGAGAACAUCUUGGGAACUAUCCGCUUUUGGAACUUAUCCCAUGCUGGAACAUUGCCCUGAGACAGACAUCCAUGAAGAAGCCUGGGAUGAAAGACCACAUGGAGAGAAAGGCCCACCAUCAUUCUGCACCAACUACCAACGGCGUAAGGGAGGUUGACUUGGAUCUCCCACCCCAGUUGACUCUCCAGCUGAAAGCAACUGCCUGAGCCCAAACAAAACCUGCUGAGGAACCUCCCUGCUAGCAAAUGGAAUCAGGAGAAAUAAUAAAUAGUUCUGUUGUUUUAAGUCACCAACUCA